CCGCCUUGGCUUCCCAAAGUGCUGGGAUUACAGGUGUGAGCCACCAUGCCUGGCCUGGCAUGUGUUUUAAUAAUACAAAGGGGGAGUGAAUCUGGUGCACCUAGUAGAUAGAAUGAGAAUGAAAUUAGCUGGUGAACCCAGUGGAAAUGGCUAAGAAUGGAAUGAGCAGGGGAAGGCCGAGUUUGAAGAGAAACAACACUGGAUAUGGAUUAUUCAAUAAGAGAUUAGAAUGUUGGGGUUUAUGACAAGUCUGAUAAAUUAUAAAGAUGAAGGACACAAGAUACUGGGGAUUAUCUCCAAAGGCACAUUAAAAUAGAGGGUUCAAGGAAGCUCUCAACAGAUUGCUGUGUUCUUUUUAAAUCAAGAACUGACAAACUUGAAAAUUUUUAUUGUAAGGUGCUAAAACCUUUGGAGGAGUCGCUACAGCAGACAGAAAUGUGGUGUCAUCUAAUUCCAUCCUGACUUACAGAGGGGUGACUUAGAGCUCCUUGAGUGCUGAUGGGCUGGAGAUUGCUGAACUACAUAGAUCUGUGGGCCAGGGCAGGUGUCGCCUCAUCUCUGCCUUUUCCCAAUUCACUGAUGUCCUUUCCAUAUCCAUGUAGGCUGGGUCAGGGUCAUCACUGGCUGUCAAAUCAGUCAUGAAGUUCAGGAGGGUAGUUGGAGGUGUGUCUGUGCUGGUAGUAGACUCCAGUUAGGUUGUUACUCAGGAGCAGGGAUAUAAAGCACUCAAUCCUGGUGAUCUGAGGCCAUCCUUUCAGGAAUCUGUGGUUUCAUAGACUGAAUAUUUGAAGAUUGGAGACUGCCAUGAAGCCCUGCAUAAGUGGAACCUGGAAGUGGGAACCCAUAGGAAGAAAGCAUUUUCCACGAACUGUGUGUGGAUUCAGGCCCUAAACCAGAUGAUGAAAACUUGACUGUUACUACUAAGGUAAAGUGGUCUCUUGUAAAAUUUUCUCACUCAGUAAACUUUUGCAUAGUAUUUACUUUUUAAAAAUUUAGCAGUGGUUUCCCUGUUACUGUUUUAUGAUGGUUAUGGAAAGUUGGUCAGAGAAAACCUUACACAUAUGGCUCAUUGACUAAAAAAUUUUAUUUAAUGUUGGUAACUAACAGAAGAUUAAAAAGUAUUGUGACAGGGUGGGGGCUGAACAAAAAUGAACUGGAAGAUACAUAGCAACAGAAAAAUCACAUUAGAAAAUGCUUUCCCCAAUAGAGAAAAUAUGAAAUUUGGUUAAGGUUUAAUUAGAUAAAUGUUAAUACUAUGACUUUUAAAUCAUACUAGUGUGAUAUCUAUAUUUUUGCCAGUAUAAAUCUUCAGUGGAUCCAAUUACUUGUAAUCAUGGAAUCUCCCUGGAACCUUUUAGUUGGAAAAACUGUACAACAAAUAGCAUAUAACUCUUUUUCUUGGACACACAUUAAUUGGGUAUUACAUACUUGGUAGGAGAGAUUGUUCCUCUACUUAUAUUAUUGAUUCUGUAGUGAGACUAACAUACUAACAACUGCAUAAAAAAUAGCUGGGUGUGGUGAUAUACAUCUAUAGUCCCAGCUAAUUGGGAGUUUGAGGUUGCCUGAGCCAAGUUUGAGAACCACCUGGGCAGCAUAACAAGAAUGCAUCUGAUUUAUUUGUUUUUAAAAAUUAUACUAAGUUCUGGGAUACAUAUGCAGAACAUGCAUGUUUGUUACAUAGGUAUACAUGUGCUAUGUGGUUUGCUGCAUGCAUCCCCGUCAGCUACA